rnacentral:lncRNA from 9 species
AAAAGGUAAGUUUACCCCAUCACCACAAUUAUUUCUUUGUUUGUUGAGUAUUUCUUCUUUGUUGAGCAUCACAGAAAAGACAUUAUAUUGUGAGUACCAAAAUAAGCUGAAACUGUAGGCUUUAUGGACAUAUUUUACCAUGAAUAGUUGACACAGAAAGCACUGAUUUUCAGGCCUGGGUCUUGUGGAGAGUUACUAAAAGUAAUUCCAGGAAAUUGUUGUAAGAUUUAUAAAUUUAUCUCAAGAUCAAGAAAAAUAUGUGAUUUAUUGAAAGGAUAAUACCAUUCUAGGAGAAGGGGAAAAUGGUGAGGAAGUUUUUAAUGCUGUGCUUAGGUAAAUUUUAUUCAAAAUAAUAAACAGACUAGUAAAAGUAUGAGGGGUAGAAGAAGGUCAUUUUAGGGAUAUAUAGUUAAUAGCUCAGGGUCUAAUGACAGUCUAAAUGAAAAGAAGAGAUACCACCACUUUUAAAUUUGCAGUUCUCUUUGACUCCCCAGCUGAAUCCUUUCUGUUGCUAUUAGGAGAAAUAGCGACAGAAAGGACUUAGUUUUAAAAGACUCGAAAAAGUGAUCUAAAAAAACAAGCUUCAUUUAAACAUUUUAGGAAAUAUAUUGCCUUAAUUUUCAGUUUUGUUUCUGUGAGGAAUAAACAAAUGCUCAACUCACUCAAGAAAGUUAAUCUUUUAUUGUGAAUCUGUUUUUGAAAAUUCUAAUUUGCCAGUUUUAUAAUCCCAUAGCUUUCACUCUCAGUCUAGGAUUUAAAACUAAACCAUCACAGAGGUACAGCAACAACAAUGGAAUCAACCAGCAACUAUUACAGAGAAACAAGAUUCAUUGUCUGGGGAAGUGACUGAAUUGGAUCUGAUUUUGCAAUGUAGCCUUUCUAAUGAGGAGAUGUACUAAUCCUAAAAGUAUUUUGCAGCAGACUUAGACUGUACCAGAGUUCAUAAUAAGGUAGAGCAAAUAUUCAGAAUGUAGUUAUAGUUUUGGAUUAAAACUACUCAAAUUUACAUUCUGCCUUUCACUUAGUUAUGAAACCUCAAAUAAAAUAAGCCUUAAUUUUAAAAUUCUAGGAGGUCCCAUUGUGGCUCAGUGGAAAUGAAUCUGACUAGUAUCCAUGAGAAUGCAGGUUCAAUCCUUGGCCUCUCUCGGUGGGUUAAGGAUCUGGUGUUGCUAUGAACUGUGGUGUAGGUCACAGAUGCAGCUCAGAUCUGGCAUUGCUGUGGCUGUGGCAUAGGCCAGCAGCUACAGCUUGGGUGCAACCCCUAGUCUGGGAAGCUCCAUAUGCCAUGGAUGUGGGCCUAAAAAUACAAAAAUACAUACAUACAUAAAUAAUAAAUCAAAUUCUAAAUGUUCUUGAGUACAAAAUUUUAAGAUGAUGGUACCUGACAUAGAGAGACACAGCAGUUGUUAAGAGAUAUAAAAUAUAAAAAUAGCUGAUGUAUAUUAAGGGCAGUGGACACCAUUAUGUGUGAAUUCUCCUUUAAAAACUAAAGAAUUAUGCUCCCAGCUACAGACCUCAUCUGUUAUUCUUUUCCAGGAUUUUCCUUAAGCUAAAGAAGGCCACCUCAGCCUGUCUAGGAGCACACCCUUUCCAGGGCAGCCAGCAUUUAAUGACUAAACUCUAGAACAGUGGCAAUUCUUGUUAUGCAGUGGCAAAAUAUUUGGAAAAAUGUUUCCUUCAGAAUAAUCUGAGAAAUAGAGGAUUUACCAUAUGAAUCUGAAUCUCUGGAGAAAGUGGAUAUUAAAUGAAAUGUUAGAAAAAUUGUUGUUGACAAGAGGUUAUAGGAAGAUGUAUUACUGGGGUCCUGUGAAUACAGAUCUUUCUCGAAUCUUCUAUGCCUGGCAUAGUUUCAUCCUAGGCCAAUUUAAGAGAUUUUUAAGUGAACUUCACUUCAGUUUUUAGAUUUCCUACAUGGACUCCAUCACCAUAUUCUCCUUUUCGUCUUUCAAAAUGCCUUAAAUGUUCCUCUUCCAGUGAGAAAUCAGUCAUUGUUUAAGGAGGUAGCUGAGUAUGCUAGAAAGAGUGUGCAUUCGAAGUCAAACAGAGAUGGAUUGGAAUAUCAGAUUGGCUUUACGCAGUUUGGGGAAAUAUCCUAAAAUCUUUACACUAUUCUAUUUACUUACCUUUUCAAUGGAGAUAAUCUUCUUUACCUUUCUAAAUUUUAGAAGAGAUUACAAAAUAAUGAUAUACUUACCUGUGCUUAAUCAUUAUGUAUCAUAUUUUAAAUACUAAAUCAUGGUUAAUGAACCUGACAAGUAUCCAUGAGGAUGUGAAUUCAAUCCUUGGGCUUGCUCAGUGGGUUGGGGAUCCGGGUUUGCACUGAGCUGAGGUCGCAGUCACGAAUCGGAUUCCCAUGUUGCUGUGGCUGUGGAUGUAGGCCGGCAGCUGUAGCUCCUAUUCAACCCCCAGCCUGGGAGCCUCCAUAUGCCUUGGGUGCAGCCCUAAGAAGACAAAAGACAAAAAGUCAAUAAAUAAAAUAAAAUUCAUGACUACAUAUAUACUACCUAUUUUUUCUUUUGUUUUUAUUUUUUGCAUUAACACACCAAAGAUCUAUAUUUAAAAUUAGAAAAAAAAUCUAUCUCAGAUACUUUCAAUUUUUCAAAAAUUAUAUAUUGAUACUUAGGUAAAAAUAUCAUCUUUCCUUAACCCAUAUAUGUAUAUAAAUUUUAAUGCAAAAAAAUAAAUUUUUUUCUGCUCAAAAGUGCAUCUAUGGUUCUUUUUUCAAUAUAAAUUAUUCUGACAAUUGUAGAAAUUAUUCUCUUUCUAUACGAACAAAUAGAGAAUCAUACAGUUUUGCUCAUGUAAUUCUGAUUUUCUAUUAGCAUGCUUGCUUCUAUUGAUAGAUCAAAUAGAACUUUUUAAAAAACGAAGGAAAGGUUUUUUAUUUAGUUUUAAGGGAAACUCUUCCAAACCAAAAAAAGUAUAUGAGAUUUCCUUUGGGCUACAUUUGUAUCAAAAUGUUCCCAUUUUUCUCCCAUUUCUCAGCACACAAUUUUAACUGAAAUGGAACAGUGAUCACAAUUUCUUACACUAAUAUGUACUUUAUGCUUUAUAGUAUAUCGUCAUCUCCAUUGUAUUUUUCAAACUUCACAAUAACACUGGGAGAAAAAUCAAGAGAAACCUUUGACCCUCUCCCCCCAGUGAGUUUAAACAAUCACAAAACUAGUCAUUGUACAUCAAAAUUAAAGUCAAAUAAUCUGAGUCUUCAAUUAGUGUUCUGUGUUAUGCAAUGGGCAGCUGAUAUUCUAUUGAACAAUAUUUUCUUAUAUAGAAAACUUACUCUUUUCUCUUUAAUAUUUAAAAAUUACUAACAUUCUACCUAAAUAUGGGUAAAAAUUGACCUGCUUUUUUUUUAACCUGCUCUUUAAAGAAAAAAAAAUAGAUGUUGGAUAUUGUAAAUCUGGAUAGAUCUGUUUGGCAGUUAUAGCACCAUAAUUUCAGUCUUUUAGAAUUCUCUUUCCAUGUGUAAGAAGUUAACUGCUUAUCCAAGAAAUCAAAGAAAUUAAGGAAUGGAAAUAAUCAUGGCAAAAUUCCUGCUUCUUUGAGAUUUUAUUGUAUUUCUUACAUUUUAUCCAGCUGAUUUAGAGGGAUACUCAGGUCAAAAGGAAUUCCUGAAAGUCCCUUUCUAUACUAUGUUUCUGUUAACAAGCCAUUUUCUCCUUUGGAUCAAACCUUUGAAAAGAAGUCUUGCUACACCAGUUUUUUGCUUAUUAUUUUUACAACACCGAUGGCUUAUCUUUACUCCUUGCAAACUGUGGAAAAUUAAUAGGAUGACAUCACUGCCAUUGUCUCAAUUUCUAUACAAAUUAUUUCUCAAAAAAAAGAAACUUUAGACAACUAGAAUUCAUAAAGGAGAGACAUAAAUUAUUUUAUUAGUAGCAUAAUAAUGCACAUCAAAGAGGAAUCAUGGGGGAAAUGGAGAAAAUGAUCCAGUAGAAAUACUAACCUAUAAUUUAGAGGGUGAGAGGUUAAUAAGCGCAAAUUUAUUAGGUGCUGUAUCAAGCUAAUUCUUGUUUCAUACAUAUAGUAAAUAUUACCCUAUAUGUGCUGCUUUUUAGGCAUUGCCAUAACUGCCUCAUAGUCUUAAAUUUAGCAAAACAAUUGAGCAAAAAGAGACAUUGGGACAAAAUUAUAUUAUUAAAUACAUAUUGGAGGAUAUGUUUGAUUCAUAUAUGUUACCUUCCAACAUAAGAGAUACUAAAUAUGCAAUACAUACCACAAUAAUAUAUAUUACUGACCAAACCUGACUUUUUUUUCUCACUGAAUUCAAAGGUAGUUCCGUAUUGCAGGCAGCCAGAACCAGUAAUUUGGUGCUUGCAUGUAGAUUUUUAAAAAAUUACUUGGCAUGCCUCUAUCGAGUGUUUUAUUUUUUUAUUUAUAUAUUUUUUGUUUUAUU